AAUGAACGUUGGCGGCGUGGAUUAAGCAUGCAAGUCGAGCGAGAACCCGCAAGGGGGACAGCGGCAAACGGGGUAGGAAUGAUUAGUGACGUACCCUCCGGACGGGGAUAGCCACGGGAAACUGUGGGUAAUACCCGAUAAUCUCCUGGGUUUGAAUAUUCAGGUGCAAAGGUGUGAUUCCACCAGAGGAGCGGCCAAUUUGAUAUCAGCUAGUUGGUAGGGUAACGGCCUACCAAGGCUUCGACGUCUAGGGGGUGUGAGAGCAUGGCCCCCACCACUGGGACUGAGAUACUGCCCAGACACCUACGGGUGGCUGCAGUCGAGAAUCUUCGGCAAUGGGCGAAAGCCUGACCGAGCGACGCCGCGUGCGGGAUGAAGGCCUUCGGGUUGUAAACCGCUGUCAGAGGGGAUGAAGUUAUGGUGGGUUCUCCCUCCAUAUUGACAGAGCCUCAGAGGAAGCACGGGCUAAGUAUGUGCCAGCAGCCGCAGUAA
rnacentral:rRNA from 1 species